UUUGAGGUCUAUCCCAAUAGGGCUUUUCCUGUAGCCUGCACGUUGUUGGAAAUGCCUCAUAGAGUAACUCUGUGGUUUUACUUUACUCACAGGACUAUUGCUACAUCUGUGGGAAGGAACUAUGGGACAGUU
rnacentral:snoRNA from 1 species